rnacentral:tRNA from 1 species
GGGGCGUUAGCUCAGUUGGUAGAGCAGUUGACUUUUAAUCAAUUGGUCGCAGGUUAGAAUCCUGCACGACCCACCA